rnacentral:rRNA from 1 species
CAAUAGCGUAUAUUAAAGUUGUUGCAGUUAAAAAGCUCGUAGUUGGAUUUCUGGUUGGAGCGACCGGUCGGGCGUUGAUUCGUCUGCACUGGAGUCGGUUUUGGCCAUCCUCUAGGAAAGUGCGUCUGGUAUUAAGUUAUCGGGCGUAUGAUCCUGGUCUUUUACUGUGAAAAAAUUAGAGUGUUUAAAGCAGGCCUUCGCCUUGAAUACAUUAGCAUGGAAUAAUAAGAUAGGACUUUGGUCUAUUUUGUUGGUUUGCAGACCGAAGUAAUGAUUAAUAGGGAUAGUUGGGGGUAUUUAUAUUCCGAUGUCAGAGGUGAAAUUCUUAGAUUUUCGGAAGAUAAACUUAUGCGAAAGCAUUUACCAAGGAUGUUUNCAUUA